UAUAUCGUCGUUAUAAAUAUUUUAUAAGAGUGUAAAUUUUUAAUAAUUAAUAUAAUUAUAUAUAUCAGAUCAAGGUGCAGCAUAUAUUUAAGGGAAAAUGGGUUACAAUAAAUUUAUUUAAACGAAAUGAUUGGAGAAUUAUAAUUAUUGAAGGUGGAUUUGAUAGUAAUAUUAAUUAAUUUAUUAGUAUGAUUUAAGCUCUAAAAUAUGUACAUAUCGCCCGUCGCUCUUAUAAUAAAUAAGAUAAGUCGUAACAUAGUAGAUGUACUGGAAAGUGUAUCUA
rnacentral:rRNA from 1 species